UCCCUUGACGACUGCCUGACUGAGGCUGCUACUUUCUAGAUGCCUUCUGCUCUAAGAAGGCUUUUUGCGACUAUUUUGGUGUUCUGCGAGGCGACCAACAUCAAGGAACUAUGGGACAAACAUCUGGAGGCGAUGACUGAGGAUUAUCGUCGUAUCCAGCCCAACCAAGCAGCAUUAGAGCAGAUGGUGCUUAGAGACAUUAGGGAUUUGAUUCAUUCGAUGGGUAAGGAUAUUAAAAGUUACGGCCUUCCAGAGGUGGUUGAAACAGACGGCGAUCAUUCUAGCGACAACUUGAGAGAGGUUCGGUAGGAAUUGUCAGUCGGUGUGGACCAAGAUCAUCUAGAUUUAUUUACUUCUUUGAACACUGAGCAGCGAGCUGGAUUUGAUGAAAUAUUGGAUCACGUGGUCAACAAUAGGAGCCAAAUAUUCUUU
rnacentral:rRNA from 1 species